AAAAUUGCAUCCAUCAACUUGGAUCUGCAACUGAAGGCAGGAUUAUUCUGUUAAGAAAAAUGAAGCGAUAGACUGCUGCUUUGCUUCUAUGGACACUAGAUCAAUCUGGAAUUAAGUAUCACAGACAUGAUAGGAAUUCUGAAGACAGAACCACUGAGUCGGG